AAAGCUCCGGCGAGCUGGAAUAAAGCUGCGACCCGGAGAUAUCCGAAUGGGGCAACCCAAUGGGACUAAUCUCCCAUUAUCUUUAGCUGAAUACAUAGGCUAUAGAAGCGAUACCUGCUGAACUGAAACAUCUUAGUAAGCAGAGGAAAAGAAAUCAAUUGAGAUUCCCUAAGUAGCGGCGAGCGAAACGGGAUGAGCCCAAACCAAAGUCUUUGACUUUGGGGUUGUAGGACCAGCCAAAAGAUUUGGAAAUUCUAGUCGAAUACUUCUGGAAAGUUGAGCGACACAGGGUGAUAGCCCCGUAGACGAAAGAAUGACCAAACAAGGCAGGCACCUGAGUAGGGCCGGACACGUGAAACCCGGUCUGAAUCUGGGGAGACCACUCUCCAAGGCUAAAUACUAAUUGAUGACCGAUAGUGAACCAGUACCGUGAGGGAAAGGUGAAAAGAACCCCGAUGAGGGGAGUGAAAUAGAACCUGAAACCAGCAGCUUACAAACGGUCGAAGGCCUAUGUCCUUUUUAAGGAAAUGGCUAACGGCGUGCCUUUUGCAUGAUGAGCCAGCGAGUUACUAUUAAAUGGCAAGGUUAAGGGACAACGUUCUGGAGCCGAAGCGAAAGCGAGUGUUAAAAGCGCGUAUAGUCAUUUGAUGUAGACACGAAACCGAGUGAUCUAUCCAUGACCAGGUUGAAGCAAGGGUAACACCUUGUGGAGGACCGAACUAGUUGCCGUUGAAAAGGCUUUGGAUGAGUUGUGGAUAGGGGUGAAAGGCCAAUCAAACUCGGAGAUAUCUUGUUCUCUUCGAAAUAACUUUCGGGUUAGCCUCGAACAUAAUUAUCUACAGGGGUAGAGCACUGAAUUCACGCGGGGGCCUACCGGCCUACCAAAGGAAAUCAAACUCCGAAUACUGUAGAUUCGUUCGGGAGAUAGACAGUGGGGGAUAAGCUUCAUUGUCAAAAGGGGAACAGCCCAGAUCGCCGAUUAAGGCCCCAAAUUCUAUGCUAAGUGAGUAAGGAAGUGGAGUUUCUAAAACAGUUGGAAUGUUGGCUUAGAGGCAGCCAUCAUUUAAAGAGUGCGUAACAGCUCACCAAUCGAGAAACUCUGCGCCGAUAAUAUCCGGGACUAAUAAGCAUAGAGCCGAAAUCGCGGGUUUAGCUUGUAAAAGCUAAGCGGUAGGAGAGCGUAGUAUGUGCAGCGAAGAUGUACCGUAAGGAGCAUUGGAGCGCAUACUAGUGAUAAUGCAUGGCAUGAGUAAACGAUAAAGGAGGUGAAAAUCCUCCUCGCCGAAAAUCCAAGGUUUCCAGGGUAAAGCUCGUCUUCCCUGGGUUAGCCGGUCCCUAAGCCGAGGCUGAAAAGCGUAGGCGAUGGCAAGCAGGUUAAAUAUUCCUGCGCCACCUAAAACUAUGAUGAUGAGUUGACGAAGUACGUUAAGCACGCGGACGAUUGGAAGUGUCCGUGGACAUAUGAGGCCGGCUAGUAGGCAAAUCCGCUAGCAUAAAGCCAGGUAUGGACCAAGGGGAGCCCUCGGGUGAACCGAUAGUGUAGCGCAACGCUUCCAAGAAAUAGACUCUAAUCGUUGAUGGUGACCGUACCAAAACCGACACAGGUGGAUGGGAAGAAUAUUCUCAGGCGCGCGAGAGAACUCUCGUUAAGGAACUCGGCAAAUUAUCCCCGUAACUUCGGGAGAAGGGGAGCCACGGGGUGUGACAUUCUUCGCGAAUGAAGCAUCAAGUGGCCGCAGAGAAAUGGCCCAGGCGACUGUUUAACAAAAACACAGCACUAUGCAAAGUCGUCUAAGACGAAGUAUAUGGUGUGAUGCCUGCCCAAUGCCAAAAGGUCAAAAGGAGAAGUUAGUGCGCAAGUGCGAAGCUUUGAAUUUAAGC
rnacentral:rRNA from 1 species